rnacentral:misc_RNA from 1 species
AGUCGUAACAAGGUAUCCGUAGGUGAACCUGCGGAUGGAUCAUUACCAAAGGAUUUUUCCUAACGUAUUGUGAACUGAAUUGAAUGCACAGUCAGUGGCUGUGAGUGGUGUUUUGGAGAGGUUUGUUACUGUAUCAGGGUAAAACUUGUUAUAGCAGUGACAUCUAUCUACAUCACUUCCCCAGUCGCUGGCUGUAUACUAAACGUAUUUACUUCAAAAACUGACGUCUGCUUUAGCUUAUAAACUAAAGACAACUUUUAGCAAUGGAUCUCUUGGCUCUC